GAUGAACGCUAGCGGCAGGCUUAACACAUGCAAGUCGAGGGGUAUAGUUCUUCGGAACUAGAGACCGGCGCACGGGUGCGUGACGCGUAUGCAAUCUACCUUUUACAGGGGAAUAGCCCAGAGAAAUUUGGAUUAAUGCCCCAUAGUAUAGUUUAUUCGCAUGAGUAGAUUAUUAAAGUUCCAACGGUAAAAGAUGAGCAUGCGUCCCAUUAGCUAGAUGGUAAGGUAACGGCUUACCAUGGCGACGAUGGGUAGGGGUCCUGAGAGGGAGAGCCCCCACACUGGUACUGAGACACGGACCAGACUACUACGGGAGGCAGCAGUGAGGAAUAUUGGUCAAUGGACGCAAGUCUGAACCAGCCAUGCCGAGUGCAGGAUGACGGUCCUAUGGAUUGUAAACUGCUUUUGUACGAGAAGAAACACUACUACGUGUAGCAGCUUGACGGUAUCGUAAGAAUAAGGAUCGGCUAACUCCGUGCCAGCCGCCGCCGUAA
rnacentral:rRNA from 1 species